UGUCAAGGGUUGGGAAACGAACCCACAGUGUUCUGCUUACCGGGCAGAUGCCAUGUCCACUAGGCUACCCUGGAC
rnacentral:tRNA from 1 species